GGCGUGGUGGCCAAGUGGUAAGGCGUUGGUCUCAGAAACCAAAGAUCAUGGGUUCAAUUCCAUCCAUGCCU